CCAAAUGGCAAAAUAAAUUUGUUUGUAUUUUUUAUAUUAAAAGAAAAUAACUUAAAGUGUGAUUAAAGUUGAUUGCAAUUUUGAUUUAUGAAAGAAAAUAAAAAGACGAUCACUUGAUUUAGGAUCAAGGUUUAUUAUAGAAAAUAUUUGUGGUUUUGUACAGAUGUCAGUCUUCUGAUCCACACUCUGCCUCCUAAUGACCUCCGCUCUUGUUUGAAGGACGACGCUUCCGGGACUUUGUACCUGAGAGCCUAGUUUCUGUUGUUU
rnacentral:lncRNA from 1 species